rnacentral:rRNA from 1 species
GCCUACGGGGGGCAGCAGUAGGGAAUCUUCCACAAUGGGCGAAAGCCUGAUGGAGCAACGCCGCGUGGGUGAAGAAGGUCUUCGGAUCGUAAAACCCUGUUGUUAGAGAAGAAAGUGCGUGAGAGUAACUGUUCACGUUUCGACGGUAUCUAACCAGAAAGCCACGGCUAACUACGUGCCAGCAGCCGCGGUAAUACGUAGGCGGCAAGCGUUAUCCGGAUUUAUUGGGCGUAAAGGGAACGCAGGCGGCCUUUUAAGUCUGAUGUGAAAGCCUUCGGCUUAACCGGAGUAGUGCAUUGGAAACU